CUUCCUCCCUCCCUCACUCCCUUCUUCCCUCCCUCCCUUCCUUCCUUUCUGUUGUCAUGAACUUCUUAUAUGCAAGGUUGUUGAAGUGAUUUCGUAUUUUUAAAUACUUAAACCUUCACUAAAUACAGAAUUGGCAGUAUAUGUCAUUAAACCAGUAACCUUACACUUCAGCUUUUCUUCAAAAGUCCCUCGAAGAAACACUGAUAAUCCUUUAAUCCAUUCUAUUACAUUGAUGUAAUUAUCACUGUCUUUGUCAAAUGCAAAAAACACUAAAAGAAAAAGAAUGUGUUUUUAAGUGUAUUAUAAUUUAGAGCUAUUUUGUGAUUCAACAAUACAUAUAUGUGAAUACUGUACACUUUAAAGAUCUGAUCCAGAAACUUAGUGAUUACAUUUAAUCAUUUCCUGUUUUAAAUAUUUUUUCUGAUAUUCCCAGUGCCCAUGAGUUAUCAUUUUUAUACUAACAAUUUUCCAUUUCUAAAGUUACCAUGAUUUCUUUUUUUAUGUAUUUAUUUUUUGGUGCUUGUACUGGGCCUUAAACAGGCCUUCCAGUGUUGGCUUUUUGCUCUAGGCUGGCUGGUACUCUACCACUUGA